GCCGACCCUUCUCUCUCCCACUCUCUCACCCCUAUUCCAUUUCUCUCUCUCUCUCUGAACACUCGUCUCUGUGGCUCUCUUUUUCUCUCUAUCGCUAUUUCAUCUCAGAUCCAAUCAUCCGCUGUAAGUCAUUACACCUCUAAUUUCAAUUUCCUUUUAGAUCCCUAUUUUUUUGUUCAGAAAAUGGAUAGAAGGAUUUUUUAUUUUUGUUUUUAUUUAAGCCCAGUUGCGGCUUUUGAGUGUUCUUUUUAUUAUAGAAUAUUGUGAAGACUAAAAUUUAAGUCUGUCACAGCGGAACUCAAUUUUGUAAUCUAUCUGGAUUGAUUUAAUUUUGGUUCUGGAUUGAAUUAAUUUGGUUUUAAUUGAUUGAUUAAUUAAUUGAUUCUGUUUGUAUUUAUUAUUUGAGAGUCGGGUAAUUAUAAUUGCUGAAAUGUGCGCGAACUGUUUGUUCUGGAUUAUAUGUUUUAAGGGUUUGACUUUGGAUUGGGUUGGUAAAAGUGGGUUUUAUUCUAAAGAAAAGUUGUUUUUAGCUAGAUUUCGAUUUUUUAGAACUUUUGUUUUUUCAAUUAUUUAAUUUAAAAAUUUACCUCCUAGAUAUUAUAUUCAGCGAGUUGGAUUUUGAGACACUGUUAAUCUGCCAUCACAUUUCAUUUGAAUUAGGCUUAUAUUAAUUUGGUCUUAGUUUCUGUUUGACAUAUGUAAGUAUUUGUGUUCAAGCUCAGAAAAUAUCUAACUACACAAUAUUCAAGUUUUUUUAAGCAACCAUGGGUGACGAAGGAGAAAAGACUUGCCCCCUCUGUGCUGAGGAGAUGGAUUUGACUGAUCAGCAGUUGAAGCCUUGCAAGUGUGGCUAUGAGGUAACUACUUCUAUCUCAUCAUAUUUUGAUGCCUUAAAUUGCCAAAACCUCAAGGUUUCUGGAAUCCACACAGUCCCACAACUGUCCAUUGUGCCCCUUUUUGAAUUGUAUGGAAUUCAGCAUCCUAUGCCAUUAAUGCAAAAAGUCUAAUGGUAAUCACCUUAAAGUUGACUAGUGUACAUUAGCUUAUGUUCGAUUUUGUACCAAUAUAAAAACGAGGAAAUAACAAGAAGGUAGAGACUGAAGCUGUUGUUGUUAGGAUCUAUUUGUGUGAGAUAACUGUCUUUUCUUUAUCAAUCAUUUGUAUGCUUUGCAGCUUCAGAUUUUACACCAUCUAAUUUCAGCAUGACUGAGAUUUUAUGCCAUAUAAGUAGGAUUAGGAUGGAAACUUUUUGAGUUACUUUUUUGAUAUAUAAAAAUGAACGUUCAAGCGUCAUGAAGUUGGUAUUGCCUGAAAAGGCAUAAACUUGAUAAAACUUUUUUAACAUCUUCGUUUGUAAGUCUUGUGGAAACAUGAAUAGUUAGAUCUGAAUACGAUAUUUUAAUGGCAUGUAGUACUUCCUUAGACAGAGAGAUGUGCUAUGAGCAAUAGCUGUCUGAUUUUUAUGCCCUGUUUCAUUGACAUAGUGAAUGAGAGAAUAGGCGGAUGUUGUCUGGUUUUAAAUCUAUUGGCUAGAAAUACCCUUUUAAAAGCUGUUAGUAUAGUUUACUAUUCUCCGUGGGUGCUCCCACAUACAUGCGUUCAUGUGACAUUGUGAUUAGUAUUCUGGGAACCAAAAAAUUUCAUAUGAAACAACAAUGCACUUUAGGUGCAACACUGCCGGCCCACAACUGCUUCACGAUUCAAUACUGGUGCUUGACCCUUAUCUCAUUAAUCAGCUAUGAAUUCUGCAUGAUGAUAACUACACUGACAUCAUUGCCAUUAGUUCAUCUUGCCCUACGCCUUUAUGGUGCAGGACUGACUAAAAAUGAGAUAAAUGUGUGUGCAUUGCGAUGAAAACCUAGAUUAAAUUAAGGUUAACAUGGCAGUAGAAGUCUCUAGUUGAUGAUUAUAGAAAUAUAUUGGGAUUGAUAUUAGCUUCCCGGAAACUUAAUUAAGUUCAUGAGAUUCUUUGUUUAGAUUGAGUAAUAAGUAAAAUAAGGUUAUCAUCUAUCUGAGUUGCAAUUGCUUCAAUAAUAAAGGGUAUUGAGAAUUUAUCUGCCUCAUCAACUAGGCAAAAUAUCUCUCCCUUAGCCAGCUCUUCAAACAAGUGUUGUGGGGGCAGGGAAAUAUUAAUUAUGUUUGUUCCUUUUCCUUUUGUUCACUUUUUGAGGGUGUCUGUUUUUGGUAUUUUCAUUUUAUUUCAGUGGUGGGUGGAUGUGGAAAGUUGCCAUUUCUCCCUCCCACUAGCACACUCUGGUAGGAAUUUUAAAUUAUUGACCAGUGAAUUGUAAUCUUGAAAUAAAGUUCAUUUCCCAUCUAUUCAAGGAUCUUGCUACAGAAUGUUUAAUUAGGAUUUUGUGGUGAAAUAUAUGAUUUUUGAUGCUAUGAUCUUAUGCUUUUAUAGACAAUUUUUCAAAGAAAGCAACUGGCUUUAAAUAUUCAUCUGAAAAUUCUUAUCUCAGUCGACUGGAAGUUUCUGAAAAGAUGAACUAUGGUUUCUUUGAGCUUGCAGAAAAUCUGCUUCUAUAUUUGAUUUGUAAUUUUAUAAACUGUCAUCCAACACAUUAAAUAAAGAAUACACAGCAACUUUACUGUGGAAAGAAGCUGCAGAAGUUUCAGUGCCCCCAUUCUUGUUCUUUUUCUUUUUCUUUCGCUGAGAAGAUCACACAAAAUGAUGUUGAACUUGCUUGUGGUUCUUUAGAUACUUCAUGAAGUUGUAUUGUCAAAUUGUUGAUUUCCACCCAUGAUUUCUAUACAGGGCUAUUUUUAUUUGAUCUUUCUCAUAUACAACUAUAUUUGUGCAUGUCGAGAUUCUGUAUUUUAUUAUUAUUAUUAUUUUAUUUAUUUAUUUAUUUUUUUGCAAUUUUGUAGAUUUGUGUUUGGUGCUGGCAUCAUAUUAUGGACAUGGCUGAGAAAGAUGAGACAGAAGGGCGGUGUCCAGCAUGUCGUACACCUUAUGACAAAGAAAAGAUUGUUGGCACGGGAGCAAACUGUGAAAGGUAAUUCACUAUUGGUAUUUAAGAUGAAAUCUGCCGUGAAAACUCUUGCUGAUCGAGCAAGGUAAUUAUGUUGUUCUCUGAUAUCAUCAUGAUCUCCAUGAUCAUCAUAAUAGGUUGGUUUCUGAGAUGAGUACGGAGAAAAAAUUUAAGUCACAAAAGGGUAAGAGCAAAAUAUCGGAGGGAAGGAAGCAACUUAGUAGUGUAAGAGUUGUCCAAAGGAAUCUUGUUUAUGUUGUGGGGUUGCCAGUUAAUUUAGCAGAUGAAGAUGUAAGUGCCUCUUCUGUCAUUGCUCUUUCCCGUCCUUCUCUUUUCAUGUUCUCAACACUAUUGAUUUAUUUUGAAGCAGCUCCUCCAGCGUAAAGAAUAUUUUGGCCAGUAUGGAAAGGUGGUGAAGGUGUCUAUAUCGCGGACAGCAGCUGGUGCCAUACAACAGUUUGCAAAUAGUACAUGCAGUGUGUAAGUUUCUUCAAAUGAUGCCAAGUCAUUUUUCUACAAGUAUAAUAGUGUUCAAGUUCAAUUAUAAUGAUUUUGGUGUUAAACUUUUAGAAGUUAUGUAGGACAUUUAGGAUGGGUUUGGAGCCUUGCUGCAG
rnacentral:lncRNA from 1 species